AACGAACGCUGGCGGCAUGCCUAACACAUGCAAGUCGAACGAGACCUUCGGGUCUCGUGGCGCACGGAUGCGUAACGCGUGGGAACCUGCCCUUAGGUUCGGAACAACUCCCCGAAAGGGGUGCUAAUACCGGAAAAUGUCUUCGGACCAAAGAUUUAUCGCCUUUGGAUGGGCCCGCGUUGGAUUAGCUAGUUGGUAGGGUAAAAGCCUACCAAGGCGACGAUCCAUAGCUGGGCUGAGAGGAUGAUCAGGCACACUGGGACUGAGACACGGCCCAGAAUCCUACGGGAGGCAGCAGUGGUGAAUAUUGGACAAUGGGCGAAAGCCUGAUCCAGCAAUGCCGCGUGAGUGAUGAAGGCCUUAGGGUUGUAAAGCUCUUUUACCCGGGAUGAUAAUGACAGUACCGGGAGAAUAAGCUCCGGCUAACUCCGUG
rnacentral:rRNA from 1 species